UGUUCUGGCACUCUCCAUGCAGGAACUGCAGGUGGUCAGCCACCAUCCUCUGCUGGCAUUCAUGGAUCACUUUGGCAUAGGAGCUUGGAUGCAGAAUAAUGCGGGCACCUCUCUUCUGCAACCUCAGUAAUCUGUCGAGGCUUGUCUUGUCAGCAUUAGACCAGAUCACAUCACAGUAUUCCUGAAGAGGCUGAACCAAAAAGCCGUGAAGAUAUUUGCACGUGUCCACACAGGACCAAAGUGUGCCAAGAAAGCCUUCCCUACACCAUUACACCACCUCCACCAGCCUCGACUGUUGACGCAAGGUAUGUUGGGUCCACGGAUUCAUGAUGCUGGUGCCAAAUUCUGACCCAGGGGUCAACAUUAAUGGUCGUCCGACUGUCCGGGACAACCAAAUGUUUGGUCCGGACAACUCCAAUCUGCAUCUGCCUGUCCGACGGGACAAGUUGAGUAUUUGUUGAAAAUCACCAUUUUUAUCGUAAUUAUUCCAGAGUUACAUCAAUAAAGUUCCAACAAAACUCGUUCAAUCCCCUCAAUGAUCCAGCCGUGUUAUUGUUUACAAAAUUCCGGGAAACCAAGUACAGCAGGUGUGUGCGUGUGUGUGUGUGUGUGUGUGUAUAAAAAUAACCACAUAGUAAUAUCUAAUUAUUAUUAUUAUUAUUAUAAUACUUUGAAUUCAUCAAAAUCGGACAAAUGUCUAUCAAAAAGCUCAAUAAAAUAAAUAUCUGUGGUGACUUCAUUUCGUUCAGACAUUCACUGAAUUUUGUCGUUCGGUUCAUAUUAACCAUCAAAAAUGUCGUAAAAUAUUUCAUGGGAAUUUUAUGACCGUGCCAAACUCACUUACGGUUUGUUUUCAUUCAGAACAUAAUUGUGUCACCCUUAUGUCCAACUUGGGUUUUUUUUUUUCAGUUUCAUUUUGUCAAAAGAAAGUCUUUCAUUCGAAACUCACAUUGAUAACAUUACCCGGAUAGCUUUCUUUCAUCUCAGAAAUAUUGCAAAGAUAAGAAAUUUAAUGUCAUUGCAUGAUGCAGAAAAACUAGUC